UCUCAAUAUGUAUGUAUGUCACCUGAAAUGCAACGAAGACAUCACACAGUAAAACAAAGAGCCUUUGAGGUCUUUAGUGCAGGUAUUUUACUCAGGAAGGACAGAGGGGUUAGCCAUAAAUAAAGACUUUUGACCUCACGGGUGUGAAGGCACACAAACACACAGUAAAACAAAUGAUCAGAAAUAGCCUUUGAACUCUUUAGUGCAGGAGACCUCACAGAUGUGAAGAUAAUAAAAGCCCAGGGGGUUAGAAUGACCAUGUUUUUUUCUGAAAACAGCUAGGUUUGGUUUACAGGGUUAAGUGGAAAUUUACAUAGAAGGAGUCUUGUAAGAAGUGGGAAGUGAUAACCAUAUAAUAAGGCUGUCUGUUUUUCAGUGUGAUUCAGGUCUGUUGUGUUUCAGGGUAGCUGCCGAAACAGUGAACAGUUACAUGUGUCCUGCACAAAUAGCAAAGUCAUUUGACUAAAACUGUACUCGUUAAGAACUAAACAUCAAACAUGUACAAGGAAAGACAGAUUGAGAAACAGACUGUGGAAUCAUGGAAAUACAAGGUCAUCACAUCCUCAGGGGUCACCAUGUUCCUUAUGGGAGAAUGUUCUAGUAAAUUGAUGCAGCCAUCUUUUUCACUGACAGUAGCCAGCAGAGCCUGUUGUCUGAUGGGAAGGGAGAACAAGGACAGACACCUGCCCUCCAAAAACAACACUGCACCA